rnacentral:lncRNA from 1 species
CGUCACCGAGCGUGCACCACUGUACCAACGUCGGAUCGAAGUACCCACCUGUACAACUGUCGCGCCUGUCUCCUGACUGCAAAAUAACGUCAACAGGACCUAAGGGGGGUCCACUGGGUUAGUGUCUAACUUACAACUAAGAAACCCUAAAAGCAUAACCCCACAAAUAAACCCACGAGAAUCGAUUUCCCAAAACCGAUUACCGAACAAACCGGAAGUCCCGAAAACCGCACCGGAACUUCACCGUCGCUCACCCGUCGUUUCCAA